GUUUUCCGGCAGCUUACUUCCGGGUUUGUGACAAAGUGGCGAGUCACUUACCCUAUGACGUUUUCGUCGGUGUCUCCAGGAGCCGAGAACUUGCCCGCGGUGCCAUUAACCGGACGGGAGUUAGUCCUGAGAAGAACUCUGGGCCUGCCAUAGCUCUCCAGCUCUUCCUGCUGCACCUGAAGGCCGUUACGAGACAGGAGCUCCUUGGCCAUCAUCAUGAAGGCCUCCUCCACGUUCUGACCAUCCUGCACACAAGCGUAGGAACACGACCUUCAUGAGCGCAAUAGUAACAACAAAAAAGACUGCAGGCCUCCUCAAACUGAACCUCCCGCUCUUCCUCCAAGUCACAUUUGUUACCUUGAAGACGAAAAGAGGGGACAAAUAGCCAGUGAUACACAACAUACACAUUCAUAAACAAAGUGUAGUUUUCUAUUGGAAAAAAAAUAUAAGCCACCUGGAAAACAGCAGUAUUUUUUAUUAUGCACGUGUUGCUAGGCAGAAUUUAAGAGUCCAAAUUUAAAACAUUUAUUCAUUCUUAACAAAUAAUAUUUUAAUGUUUGCACAUUCGCUUGAGGUGAGGCAGAAUUUGUGAAUCCUAAUAAAAAAGUGAUUCAUAAUAAUAAACGUGAUUAUUGGAAAUAAAGAUUAGAUCACUAGAAUUGUCGCUUGUUGCUAGGCAGAAUUAGGUGAAACAAACAAAAAA